CCUUGGAAACUGUCUACAAUCAUCGCAUUUUACUUUCUGUAGUAAGUAAAGAAUGCCCAGUUAAGCCAUGGCAACUAAGUUUUAAUUUAUCCGGUGGCCUGUAACGAGAGGUCUGGAGAGAGUUACACGGAUGUGUAAGAACUGCGAAUUAAAACGACUAGAAAAAAUGAAGAAUUUAGCUACAUUACGUAAAAUAAAGCAAGACUUUGUGUACUUAAACUAUUUGCCUAUAGCUACAUUAUAGUGCUGUAGUUAUGUCAUGUAUUCAUUGUUUAAUUUUUGAUGAUGCAAAGAAUAGAAUUAUGAACAAUUCCAA